CGGUACGUACUGGCAUUGUUGGUUUCUCCCUUCUGACGAACCAUGAUGUCAUUUAUUUGGUGUUGUGGGGAAUCAGGACUGUUACUUUGAAAAAAUUAGAGUGUUUAAAGCAGGCUCACGCUUGAAUACAUUAGCAUGGAAUAAUGAAAUAGGACGUUUGAUUCUAUUUUGUUGGUUUCUAGGAUCGACGUAAUGAUUAAUAGGGAUAGUUGGGGGCAUUAGUAUUCAAUUGUCAGAGGUGAAAUUCUUGGAUUUAUUGAAGACUAACUACUGCGAAAGCAUUUGCCAAGGAUGUUUUCAUUAAUCAAGAACGAAAGUUAGGGGAUCGAAGACGAUCAGAUACCGUCGUAGUCUUAACCAUAAACUAUGCCGACUAGGGAUCGGAUGAUGUUAUUUUUAAUGACUCAUUCGGCGCCUUACG
rnacentral:rRNA from 1 species